rnacentral:piRNA from 1 species
UAAGCCAUACAGGAAGAAACCUGUUACA